AGAGACGAGUCAGAGUUUGAUCCUGGCUCAGGAUGAACGCUAGCUACAGGCUUAACACAUGCAAGUCGAGGGGUCUUGUGGGGCUUGCUCCGCAAGACGACCGGCGCACGGGUGAGUAACGCGUAUCCAACCUGCCCUUCAUAUUGGGAUAGCCUCUCGAAAGGGAGAUUAAUACCGAAUAACAUGAGAUAGUUGCCUGAUUAUUUCAUGAAAGCUCCGGCGAUGAAGGAUGGGGAUGCGUUCCAUUAGGUAGUAGGCGGGGUAACGGCCCACCUAGCCGACGAUGGAUAGGGGUUCUGAGAGGAAGGUCCCCCACACUGGAACUGAGACACGGUCCAG
rnacentral:rRNA from 1 species